UGAGUCGGUGCCCGAGUGGUCAAUGGGGGCGGAUUGUAAAUCCGUUGGCUACGCCUUCAUCGGUUCAAAUCCGAUUCGGCUCAG
rnacentral:tRNA from 1 species